rnacentral:rRNA from 1 species
GAAUCUUAGACAAUGGGCGCAAGCCUGAUCUAGCCAUGCCGCGUGAGUGACGAAGGCCUUAGGGUCGUAAAGCUCUUUCGCCAGAGAUGAUAAUGACAGUAUCUGGUAAAGAAACCCCGGCUAACUCCGUGCCAGUAGCCGCGGUAAUACGGAGGGGGUUAGCGUUGUUCGGAAUUACUGGGCGUAAAGCGCACGUAGGCGGAUUGGAAAGUUGGGGGUGAAAUCCCAGGGCUCAACCCUGGAACGGCCUCCAAAACUCCCAGUCUAGAGUUCGAGAGAGGUGAGUGGAAUUCCGAGUGUAGAGGUGAAAUUCGUAGAUAUUCGGAGGAACACCAGUGGCGAAGGCGGCUCACUGGCUCGAUACUGACGCUGAGGUGCGAAAGUGUGGGGAGCAAACAGGA